GAGCCGCUGGUCUAGUGGUAUGAUCCUUGCUUAGGGUGGCACUCUACAGCAGUGUUUGCGAGAGGUCCCGGGUUCAGUUCCCGAGUGGCCCC
rnacentral:tRNA from 1 species